rnacentral:rRNA from 1 species
GACGAACGCUGGCGGCGUGCCUAAUACAUGCAAGUCGAACGCAGUGGGGACGGGUGAGUAACACGUGGGUAACCUCCCAUCAGAGGUGAUAACACUUGGCAACAGGUGCUAAACCGAUACUGAUUUAUUACCCCGCGGUGCAUUAGCUAGUUGGUGAGGUAACGGCUCACAAAGGCCACGAUGCAUAGCCGAGCUGAGAGGGUGAUCGGCCACACUGGUACUGAGACACGGCCAAGACUCCUACGGGAGGCAGCAGUAGGGAAUCUUCGGCAAUGGACGAAAGUCUGACCGAGCAACGCCGCGUGAGUGAAGAAGGUUUUCGGAUCGUAAAACUCUGUUGUUAGAGAAGCGGUAUCUAACCAGAAAGCCACGGCUAACUACGUGCCAGCCGCCGCGGUAAUUC